rnacentral:snRNA from 1 species
CUUUUAAUGUCUCCAUUUGACU